CUACGGGUCGCUCCAGUGGGGAAUCUUGCACAAUGGGGGAAACCCUGAUGCAGCGACGCCGCGUGAGCGAUGAAGUCCUUCGGGGCGUAAAGCUCUUUCAGUGGGAACGAUAAUGACGGUACCCACAGAAGAAGCUGCGGCUAACUACGUGCCAGCAGCCGCGGUAAUACGUAGGCAGCAAGCGGUGUUCGGAGUUACUGGGCGUAAAGAGUGCGUAGGCGGUUCCGUAAGUUCGGUGUGAAAUCUGCUGGCUUAACUGGGAGGGUGCGCCGGAAACUGCGGAGCUUGAGCACGGGAGAGGAAAGCGGAAUUCCUGGUGUAGCGGUGAAAUGCGUAGAUAUCAGGAGGAACACCGGUGGUGUAGACGGCUUUCUGGACCGUUGCUGACGCUGAGGCACGAAAGCGUGGGGAGCAAACAGGAUUAGAUACCCCAGUAGUC
rnacentral:rRNA from 1 species